rnacentral:rRNA from 1 species
CAGUCGCCACGGUAAUACGAAGGGGGCUAGCGUUGCUCGGAAUGACUGGGCGUAAAGGGCGCGUAGGCGGCGGCCAAAGUCAGGCGUGAAAUUCCCGGGCUCAACCUGGGGGCUGCGUUUGAUACUUGGUUGCUUGAGUGGGGAAGAGGGUCGUGGAAUUCCCAGUGUAGAGGUGAAAUUCGUAGAUAUUGGGAAGAACACCGGUGGCGAAGGCGGCGACCUGGUCCUUUACUGACGCUGAGGCGCGAAAGCGUGGGGAGCAAACAGGAUUAGAUACCCGCGUAGUCCCUGUCUCUUAUAC